rfam:Ictidomys tridecemlineatus contig061042, whole genome shotgun sequence.
AGGGAUAUAGCUCAGUUGGUAGAGUGUUUGCUUAGCAUGCUAAAUACCCUGGGUUCCAUCCCCAGCACACCAA